UUAGGGGUAAACCUGAGAAACCCGAAAGGUCGAAGGGAGAAAUUCAUUCGCUUUCGUAAUCGGCGAUCGGCUGUUGUGCGACGAAAGCGGCAUUUUGUCGUUUUCGCACCUUCGGUCUUCGAACCGGAAACGAACGCGUGCACUUUUCUCCUGGUAGGACGUCGCGAUCCGUUGGGUGUCGGUCUACGGCUCACGGUGGAGCCCGGUCGUCGUUUUUCGGAACGUGUACGAUCGGACCCGUGUGUUUCCCGACCGACUCGCUCGACGGUAUACGAAAGGUUCGGAGCCGCUAUUUUACGAGCGUUCGACUCGCGGCAAGCGCGUCAGUUGCCGUUGGCGAUCGGACCUGGUGCCGAUUCUAACCUCUGAUGACUGUUGGCCGCGAAGUUCUCGAACAGACUCCGUUUCUCUCACGAGAAAAAACCGAUCUGCGACGCUAUAGCUUUGGGUAAUUUCAGG
rnacentral:rRNA from 1 species